UACGUAGGUCCCGAGCGUUGUCCGGAUUUAUUGGGCGUGAAGCGAGCGCAGGUGGUUUAUUAAGUCUGGUGUAAAAGGCAGUGGCUCAACCAUUGUAUGCAUUGGAAACUGGUAGACUUGAGUGCAGGAGAGGAGAGUGGAAUUCCAUGUGUAGCGGUGAAAUGCGUAGAUAUAUGGAGGAACACCGGUGGCGAAAGCGGCUCUCUGGCCUGUAACUGACACUGAGGCUCGAAAACGUGGGGAGCAAACAGG
rnacentral:rRNA from 1 species